AAUACGGAUUGAUAUGAAAGUCAUCAUGCCUAGUUCUCACAGAUUCCAGGUCAUACACAUCCAGAAUACAAUGCAGCCAGGCCCAGCAGUUCCUCGUAGGCCAAACACACUACUGCAAACUUGCUUCCCAGGUUCUGAAGAACCGAACCGUGAAGCAAUUUUGCAGAAACUGUGUUCUGUGGAGGUUUGGGGAAGUAUCGGACAGUGGGGAUAUGAGAGCUGAGUUGGGACCCAAGCUCAAGUCCGAAGCCAUGACCAGCAAUCCAUGCCGUCUCUCACCCCUCCAUCUCGCAUCUGCAUCGCAUCUGCAAACUGGGCAUUAAUCUACACAAAGGUGAAAAGUCGAUUUGUAAAUGGUGACGGACUCUAUAAACAUGGGGAGUUUGUUUAUUCUCUGGUUC
rnacentral:lncRNA from 1 species